rnacentral:rRNA from 1 species
AUUGAACGCUGGCGGCAUGCCUUACACAUGCAAGUCGAACGGCAGCAUGAUCUAGCUUGCUAGGUUGAUGGCGAGUGGCGAACGGGUGAGUAAUACAUCGGAACGUGCCCUGUAGUGGGGGAUAACUAGUCGAAAGAUUAGCUAAUACCGCAUACGACCUGAGGGUGAAAGUGGGGGACCGCAAGGCCUCAUGCUAUAGGAGCGGCCGAUGUCUGAUUAGCUAGUUGGUGAGGUAAAGGCUCACCAAGGCGACGAUCAGUAGCUGGUCUGAGAGGACGAUCAGCCACACUGGGACUGAGACACGGCCCAGACUCCUACGGGAGGCAGCAGUGGGGAAUUUUGGACAAUGGGCGAAAGCCUGAUCCAGCAAUGCCGCGUGUGUGAAGAAGGCCUUCGGGUUGUAAAGCACUUUUGUCCGGAAAGAAAUGGCUCUGGUUAAUACCUGGGGUCGAUGACGGUACCGGAAGAAUAAGGACCGGCUAACUACGUG